GUGUGAAGUUAACGCAUUAAGCACUCCGCUGGGGAGUACGGCCGCAAGGUGAAACUCAAAGGAAUUGACGGGGGCCCGCACAAGCGUGGAGCAUGUGGUUUAAUUCGAAGCAACGCGAAGAACCUUACCAGGUCUUGACAUCCUCUGAAAACCCUAGAGAUAGGGCUUCUCCUUCGGGAGCAGAGUGACAGGUGGUGCAUGGUUGUCGUCAGCUCGUGUCGUGAGAUGUUGGGUUAAGUCCCGCAACGAGCGCAACCCUUGAUCUUAGUUGCCAUCAUUAAGUUGGGCACUCUAAGGUGACUGCCGGUGACAAACCGGAGGAAGGUGGGGAUGACGUCAAAUCAUCAUGCCCCUUAUGACCUGGGCUACACACGUGCUACAAUGGACGGUACAAAGAGCUGCAAGACCGCGAGGUGGAGCUAAUCUCAUAAAACCGUUCUCAGUUCGGAUUGUAGGCUGCAACUCGCCUACAUGAAGCUGGAAUCGCUAGUAAUCGCGGAUCAGCAUGCCGCGGUGAAUACGUUCCCGGGCCUUGUACACACCGCCCGUCACACCACGAGAGUUUGUAACACCCGAAGUCGGUGGGGUAACCUUUAUGGAGCCAGCCGCCUAAGGUGGGACAGAUGAUUGGG
rnacentral:rRNA from 1 species